rnacentral:rRNA from 1 species
UCUUGGUCAUUUAGAGGAAGUAAAAGUCGUAACAAGGUUUCCGUAGGUGAACCUGCGGAAGGAUCAUUAUCCAUCUAAAACCAGGUGCGGUCGCGGCCUCCGGGUGAAAGCCCGGGUGGUUUCGCGCCGCAUUCCUGCACCCUUUUUUUACGAGCACCUUUGUUCUCCUUCGGCGGGGCAACCUGCCGCUGGAACUUAAUAAAACCUUUUUUGCAUCUAGCAUUACCUGUUCUGAUACAAAUAAUCGUUACAACUUUCAACAAUGGAUCUCUUGGCUCUGGCAUCGAUGAAGAACGCAGCGAAAUGCGAUAAGUAGUGUGAAUUGCAGAAUUCAGUGAAUCAUCGAAUCUUUGAACGCACAUUGCGCCCCUCGGUAUUCCGUGGGGCAUGCCUGUUCGAGCGUCAUCUACACCCUCAAGCUCUGCUUGGUGUUGGGCGUCUGUCCCGCCUCUGCGCGCGGACUCGCCCCAAAUUCAUUGGCAGCGGUCUUUGCCUCCUCUCGCGCAGCACAAUUGCGUCUGCGAGGGGGCGUGGCCCGCAUCCACGAAGCAACAUUACCGUCUUUGACCUCGGAUCAGGUAGGGAUACCCGCUGAACUUAAGCAUAUCAAUAAGCGGAGGAA